GUUUUAAUGGCGGUGUUCAAAAUACAUCUACAUCUUGUAUCUGUACAGAGUUAACAUAUGGUGUUAAUUGUGGUUCAUUUAAAGCAAGGUGUGAGAUGGAUCCAUACGUCGUUGACCACGCUGUUUUAAUGAUGCCGAUUACUGGAAGGAAUGUUUCUCUGGAAGGAGAUCUAAUAACUUAUAAUUGUAGCAUUGGUGGAUAUCAACCGUUUUCCACGUGCCAAUCAAAUGGUACCUGGUCACGCCCAUCUCAAUGCCUCCCUGCAAGUUGUAAAGACAUCAAGAUCUGCAGCUCCAGCUAUACCUCUGAUGGUGAAUAUUGGCUAUAUCCCCCAGCAGUUGCCCAUAAACCUGUUAAAGUCUACUGUCAUGGCAUGUCUACC